rnacentral:tRNA from 1 species
AACGAUGUAUUUUAUAAAGAAUAUCGGGUUUGCGUCUCGAAGGAGGGAAUUUUCCCUAUUGUUA